rnacentral:tRNA from 1 species
GGUAGCGUCGCCGAGCGGUCCAAGGCGCUGGUUUAAGGCACCAGUCUCUUCGGGGGCAUGGGUUCGAAUCCCAUCGCUGCCA